CAAAAAAUAAAAAAUAGGAAUCAUAUGGCAUCUGGCACAAUACUACUUUACUCCAAGGUUCUACUAUCUGGUACCACUUUACUCAUUCCCCUAUUCUCGAAUGCCUAUUGUGAUAUUUCUCCAAUCCUUAAAUAUUCUACCUUCCUGGCCCAUUCUCGAACUCCGCCUCCGUUUUCUGUGGCUGCACUAUCAGUGCUAGCUUUUGCAGAGUACCGACACUGGUUUCUGAGCACCGGAUGUGUCCAAAGUGCCCUUAACGACUGGCGUCACUGUUGCUGAGAUGGUGUUGAGUGGCUGGCAGCAAGUGGAUUGCUCCCGCAGAAGCUGACCACUAGACCCGGAGCUGGACUGGGCUGGAACCUGAUCGAAGCCUUGCGGUGCAGUGCUGAGUGUGCGCCUGGAGCGCCCCGAAAGAAUCGGAGCUACGAUCUAGAAGCUCUGGUUUGGGAGGUGCACCUGGACCAGGUCGAUCCGACAUAGACGCACUUGGGAGUCAAACCCUUGGACAACGCCACCUGCGGAGCUCCCCGAUUAGAUCGCUUACUAUUUAAGAGGGUGAGUGGGAGGGAAAGGACUGAUGGCCGUCGGUGAAUGCUUCAAACCCGCGUUAGCCUCCCUGGAGCUUUGGGGCUCUCUGUCAGGAAAUUCCAGUGCCCUGCACAAUAAUGCGGCAACGUGCCUUGAUUUCUUGCUCGCCGUGCACGUGGACGUUGCUGCCUCGCCAUUUUUAUAAGCCUUAUAAGGUGCUUUCCAGCCUUCCUGGUUAUGAGAUCAAAGGCGCACACCUAGAUCGUGAAGUCGAGUACAGGAAAAUGAUGAUGUUUGUAUGAUGGAGUUCGUGUCGGUUCAAAGACAAAGCCCCUUCAUUGACGCAAUCAGCUUGCCUCUCAUCUAGGAAACCAACACUAUGGUGAAGAUUCUCGUUGGAUGUGGGUUUCGACGCUCCUGUCAUUCAUUCGGCGUGGCGGUUCCUGUCCUAGUGAUCUCGACUUGCGCGUCACUUCGGUCAGGGUGAGUCCAUGGGCUCUCACCACCACCAUCUCCACCCUCCAUUCGACGCCUCAAGGAAAGCUCGAUCACCUCCAGUGCCUCCCCGAACCCACAAUCCAGCUCUUCCUUUUCAUUCCCUUUUUUCUGCUUACAUGCAUGUUACGUUUUCAAGUCUACAUUGUAGCUCUCCUUGGUUUGAACACAGAUUUCAUAUCAUAUGUACGUGAAGGUCUUGAACUGCAGCUCUUGCACCAAUUAACAGAGACGGUUGAGUUCAGUAUUCUUCUCAAAAAUCUUUGUCCACUUCAUUCUCAAAGUUUGUUCUCAAAAUGAUGUCUUGAUUUAUGACUCUGAUAAUUCUAUGUUUUUUUUUUCACUUUCAUUUUCUGUUCAACUCUGAAAUGUGAACAUGCUUAAUGUGCUGUUAUUUUCCAGGGUCAAAUCCACUCCCUUCUUCGGUUCUGGUUGAACUUAUCUUAAAAUAUUAGAUUGACAACUGCACUUCAUUGCAAUAUCUCAACCCGCUCAUAUCAGUUUCCAACCGGAUCGACCGGUACCCGUGAUUCGACGGGUACCGUUAGAUUCCGCUCCACUAAAGUCAAAGUUGAAGGGCUGAGAUAGCGAAAGGUCGUCGGGGAGAGUAACUCCAUUGACUCCGACGAAGAACGACCUAAUUUUGGGGGUUGCUCCUGAGAGAGUAAAUACUUGAGGCCCUGCAAAUUCCUUCCCAUACUCAUCUCCCAUCUCAUCUCGUCGUCGUUGUCGUCGUCACUUUUGUUCGUCACCUUGAACCCUGAAGCACCCGUGACAACCAGUGGCCACUAAGCGAUAUCAUCCACAAGAUCCAACUCUCUCUUACGAGGCCCCCCGGUAUUGCGUUUCGUGUCGCGUCGUGUGUCGGUGCGCGGCCCCUUCCAGAUGCGUUUGUACUCAAUAUGUUACGCAAGGUCGAAGGUCACGUCUGAAACGUUCUUUUCGCUAUUUUUCGCAAUCCUCUUUUCAUUGCGUAUCCUCUACCAGUCGUUUUCCAGUAGACGUCGAUGAUAUUUCAGACAAGGGGGGGGGGGAGGGGGGCAAAUGUGUUCAGUCGACAAUCAUGAUUCCAGUGUGCCUUUUUCCUACUCCUCUUACCUUGUCUUCUUCUUAGGUCUGCAUGCUUGUGAUGCUUUUGAGGAGCUUGUUACUUUGCAUCCGUUUGUUACUUCUCCGAUUCCGGCGAUUCGGAGCUUGCGGUGUACUUCAGUAGCGGUGAUUUUCUUGACACUUCAGAGUGAUGAUUGGAAGGCUCUGAGAGGAUCGUUGCGUGUCCAGUGGGAUGUAGAGAAAUGACGAUGCUGGAGAAAAAUAUAGUUGGUAGAAGGUCCGUGUGUUUAGUCGCCUGUCCUCCACUACAAUUCGCCGCGGAUUACUUGCUCUGAUUCCGAUUUUGGUCUAGUUAAGACAUUCUUGUUCAAGAGGAAUGAGCGUUUGCUUCUUUGCAAGCGACAUGGAUUCCAAUUUUGGAGGCAAAGGGAGGAGUAGAAGGGAGGGCUUAACUCGACAUCUGAAAGCAUUGGUUGCAUGCUGUGUUCUUCAACCUGACGGUGUUCUGCAGCAAUGCACACCUUCUGAUGACGUUGCUGCGGACACUCGGUUCAAGUAGGAUCACUGUUACCAACGCCGGUCUGUGUCACAGUAAACCCUCUCUCUAUUCCUGUCUUUGCCUUACAAACAUGUACCUGGGACGACGAGUUUUAGCCACGUGCGGAGAGUUACGGAAUGCAAAGAUCACGUCAGGUACGCAUUCUCAAGUCAAAAGACUAACACGGCCACUUGGCAGUGGUUCUAUCCCAGCAAUCAAGUGCUUCUGCCUGGAUAGAUCGGAGCUGUUGCGAAUAUACAUUUUAUUCUCUUAUCUAGAAUAGCAGCUGUUUCUUGUUAUGGAAUUUGUUUCUGCAUUCUAACAGAGGUUCUGACAUAUUGGUUAUUUCAAAUCUGGAGAUUCAGAACAUCAAUCGUGUUGAAUUACCAUGUUUAGGGAAUAGCUCAAAGAAUUUCGAGGGCAUUCUAUGAUGAGUUUAAUUUUCCUUCCGCUGCAAAUCGAUAGAGGUCGACACCAACAAAUCUCUAGAACCUCUCGAGUAUUUUGCUGUUGCGCCAUCCUUAAUCCUUGACGCAAUUCGUGGGACGUUAGAGACUUUGAAUCCCACUGCCGUUGUGGAUUGAAGUAAGAACCCUGUUAGAUAACAUACAAUGAAGGCUUGGUAAAGGGGUCUAGUGGAAGAAAGAAUAUUUCACUAUUUGUAUUUCCUUACAUGAUGGCAAGUCAAGCCCUGACGGCGUCAUGAGUUUCAUGCGAAGAUUGUCACAUUAUUUUACUACA